AACGAACGCUGGCGGCAUGCCUAACACAUGCAAGUCGAACGAGAUCUUCGGGUCUAGUGGCGCACGGGUGCGUAACGCGUGGGAAUCUGCCCUUUGGUUCGGAAUAACAGUUGGAAACGACUGCUAAUACCGGAUGAUGACGAAAGUCCAAAGAUCUAUCGCCAGAGGAUGAGCCCGCGUAGGAUUAGCUAGUUGGUGUGGUAAAGGCGCACCAAGGCGACGAUCCUUAGCUGGUCUGAGAGGAUGAUCAGCCACACUGGGACUGAGACACGGCCCAGACUCCUACGGGAGGCAGCAGUGGGGAAUAUUGGACGAUGGGCGAAAGCCUGAUCCAGCAAUGCCGCGUGAGUGAUGAAGGCCUUAGGGUUGUAAAGCUCUUUUACCCGGGAUGAUAAUGACAGUACCGGGAGAAUAAGCUCCGGCUAACUCCGUGCCAGCCGCCGCAGUA
rnacentral:rRNA from 1 species